rnacentral:tRNA from 4 species
UCCUCUGUAGUUCAGUCGGUAGAACGGCGGACUGUUAAUCAGUAUGUCACUGGUUCGAGUCCAGUCAGAGGAGCCA